rnacentral:rRNA from 1 species
AGGGAAUCUUCGGCAAUGGACGGAAGUCUGACCGAGCAACGCCGCGUGAGUGAAGAAGGUUUUCGGAUCGUAAAGCUCUGUUGUAAGAGAAGAACGAGUGUGAGAGUGGAAAGUUCACACUGUGACGGUAUCUUACCAGAAAGGGACGGCUAACUACGUGCCAGCAGCCGCGGUAAUACGUAGGUCCCGAGCGUUGUCCGGAUUUAUUGGGCGUAAAGCGAGCGCAGGCGGUUAGAUAAGUCUGAAGUUAAAGGCUGUGGCUUAACCAUAGUAGGCUUUGGAAACUGUUUAACUUGAGUGCAAGAGGGGAGAGUGGAAUUCCAUGUGUAGCGGUGAAAUGCGUAGAUAUAUGGAGGAACACCGGUGGCGAAAGCGGCUCUCCGGCUUGUAACUGACGCUGAGGCUCGAAAGCGUGGGGAGCAAACAGGAUUAGAUACCCUGGUAGUCCACGCCGUAAACGAUGAGUGCUAGGUGUUAGACCCUUUCCGGGGUUUAGUGCCGUAGCUAACGCAUUAAGCACUCCGCCUGGGAAGUACGACCGCAAGGUUG